AACUCAAAGCAAAAAGGAAAGCCACCGGAAGCUUCUGUGAAUUCAAGAAUUGCAAAAGCGAAUGUGGUGUCAAGGUGGAUUCCUCCUAAUAAAGGAUCGUAUACAAAUUCAUUGCAUGUGUCUUAUCCACCAACGAGGUAUAAUAGCACGCCACCUGUCCUGACGCAAUUGGGGGAGAAAAAAUCAGGUGAAGGUGCAGGGAAUGGAUCAAAGAAAGAUGUUAAAGCGGGUGAAUCUUCACCUGUUCGGCGAUCUGGUAAGUCUCUGGGUUCUGGUGCCUUGAAAGAUCUUGUUGGAAUUUUGGAAGAGAAAUCAGUGAAGGUUACUACUCCACCUCCUACACCACUGCCGCCAGUAGCAAGCAGGGCUCCUCCACCACCACCACCUCCACCACCUAGCUCAUAUGACAUCUAUAUCGAUGAUGAAGUUGUGCCUGCUUCUCCGCCUUUGCCUCCUAAACAGGUUGCACCCCCACCUCCACCUCCACCCCCACCACCACCUCCAAUGUAUGCAGCNNN
rnacentral:lncRNA from 1 species